CCUACGGGAGGCAGCAGUGAGGAAUAUUGGUCAAUGGACGAGAGUCUGAACCAGCCAAGUAGCGUGAAGGAUGACUGCCCUCGAGGUUGUAAACUUCUUUUAUAAAGGAAUAAAACGAGGCACGUGUGCCUUUUUGCAUGUACUUUAUGAAUAAGGAUCGGCUAACUCCGUGCCAGCAGCCGCGGUAAUACGGAGGAUCCGAGCGUUAUCCGGAUGUAUUGGGUUUAAAGGGAGCGUAGAUGGGUUGUUAAGUCAGUUGUGAAAGUUUGCGGCUCAACCGUAAAAUUGCAAUUGAUACUGGCAGUCUUGAGUACAGUUGAGGUAGGCGGAAUUCGUGGUGUAGCGGUGAAAUGCUUAGAUAUCACGAAGAACCCCGAUUGCGAAGGCAGCUUACUAAACUGUGACUGACAUUGAUGCUCGAAAGUGUGGGUAUCAAACAGGAUUAGAUACCCUUGUAGUC
rnacentral:rRNA from 1 species